GUCGAGCGGUAGAGAGAAGCUUGCUUCUCUUGAGAGCGGCGGACGGGUGAGUAAUGCCUAGGAAUCUGCCUGGUAGUGGGGGAUAACGUCCGGAAACGGACGCUAAUACCGCAUACGUCCUACGGGAGAAAGCAGGGGACCUUCGGGCCUUGCGCUAUCAGAUGAGCCUAGGUCGGAUUAGCUAGUUGGUGGGGUAAUGGCUCACCAAGGCGACGAUCCGUAACUGGUCUGAGAGGAUGAUCAGUCACACUGGAACUGAGACACGGUCCAGACUCCUACGGGAGGCAGCAGUGGGGAAUAUUGGACAAUGGGCGAAAGCCUGAUCCAGCCAUGCCGCGUGUGUGAAGAAGGUCUUCGGAUUGUAAAGCACUUUAAGUUGGGAGGAAGGGCAGUAAAUUAAUACUUUGCUGUUUUGACGUUACCGACAGAAUAAGCACCGGCUAACUCUGUGCCAGCAGCCGCGGUAAUACAGAGGGUGCAAGCGUUAAUCGGAAUUACUGGGCGUAAAGCGCGCGUAGGUGGUUCGUUAAGUUGGAUGUGAAAUCCCCGGGCUCAACCUGGGAACUGCAUUCAAAACUGACGAGCUAGAGUAUGGUAGAGGGUGGUGGAAUUUCCUGUGUAGCGGUGAAA
rnacentral:rRNA from 1 species